GACGAACGCUGGCGGCGUGCUUAACACAUGCAAGUCGAACGGAAAGGCCCUGCUUUUGUGGGGUGCUCGAGUGGCGAACGGGUGAGUAACACGUGAGUAACCUGCCCUUGACUUUGGGAUAACUUCAGGAAACUGUGGCUAAUACCGGAUAGGAGCUCCUGCUGCAUGGUGGGGGUUGGAAAGUUUCGGCGGUUGGGGAUGGACCCGCGGCUUAUCCGCUUGUUGGUGGGGUAGUGGCUUACCAAGGCUUUGACGGGUAGCCGGCCUGAGAGGGUGACCGGCAACAUUGGGACUGAGAUACGGCCCAGACUCCUACGGGAGGCAGCAGUGGGGAAUAUUGCACAAUGGGCGGAAGCCUGAUGCAGCAACGCCGCGUGCGGGAUGACGGCCUUCGGGUUGUAAACCGCUUUCGCCUGUGACGAAGCGUGAGUGACGGUAAUGGGUAAAGAAGCACCGGCUAACUACGUGCCAGCCGCCGCGGUAA
rnacentral:rRNA from 1 species